rnacentral:misc_RNA from 1 species
GAUGAAGAACGUAGCAAAAUGCGAUAAGUAAUGCGAAUUGCAGAAUUUCCGUGAGUCAUCGAAUCUUUGAACGCACAUUGCGCCCGCCAGUAUUCUGGCGGGCAUGCCUGUUCGAGCGUCAUUACAACCCUCAGGCCCCCGGGCCUGGCGUUGGGGAUCGGCGGAAGCCCCCUGCGGGCACAACGCCGUCCCCCAAAUACAGUGGCGGUCCCGCCGCAGCUUCCAUUGCGUAGUAGCUAACACCUCGCAACUGGAGAGCGGCGCGGCCACGCCGUAAAACACCCAACUUCUGAAUGUUGACCUCGAAUCAGGUAGGAAUACCCGCUGAACUUAAGCAUAUCAAUAAGCGGAGGA